GUUUCAGUCACGUGAUGAUUAUGACGCGGCCAGGGGGCGCGAUUUCAGAUGGAGGGCAGGAAGUCUAUGAAGCCAGCGUAAACAUGGAGGACACCGUUACCGAGAGCCCGUAUUGUAUGGAGUUAGAGCCUAUAUCAAGACAUAGAUACAAGGAGUUAAUUAAUAGAUAUGUUGGACGUGACCCGUACCUCAUGAAGAUGUGUGAAUUUUCGGUGGACCUUAAAGAUUUGCCGACAGUGGAGGCCGUUGAUAUAACAAACUACCUGGUCCUUCAGACAUCGUUCUACACUAAACAGCAAAUGAAGGCCUAUAAAAGUAUGGAGGCAUAUAACUUCUUUGUCUGCGGGUGGGUCCACAACCUCGGCACCAAACGUCUCCACGACGAUAAUACUUCAGUCUUUGCCAGGGUGAGUGUUUAUUCUUAUAUUGUUUUAUGUGUUAAAAGAUGCUAGCGUUAGCGGUAGCGGCUAUAGUGAACGAUCAUCAACGGUCAUGCAACACAUCUUAACAACAACGUUAGCCUGACAGUUGUUUAUGUUUCAAGGUAAACCACUCUCAGCGUUCAAGCGAAACACCUCUGAAGACGUGGAUUAUUGCGAAGAAGGAUGGAGAAGUCAUUGCAGCUCAUUGCAAUUGCAUGGCAGGAUUAUCAGAAUCAUGUUCUCAUGUAGGAGCAGUGCUUUUUUCCAUUGAAGCUGGGGUAAAAAUGCGAGAUGCAGCUUCCUGCACAACAGAGCAGUGCAAGUGGCUGAUGCCAUCACAUGUAAAAAAGAUUCCUGCUGCUCCAGUAGCUCAGAUUGACUUCUCCUCAGCAAAAUCCAAAAAAAAAAAGCUUGACAGCUCCAUUGACGGCAGGACAACUAUAAACAAGUUAUGGAUGCAAACAUGAGGCACAAGCCAGAGGAGCAUAUGAGAAGCUGAUGGGUCGGUAG